rnacentral:rRNA from 1 species
CCCCACUGCUAUCGAGGUGAGACUUAGCCAGGCCAGUCGAACGACUCGGACUAUGGCGAGAAGUGGCAAACUGCUCAGUAACACGUAGCUAACCUACCCUCAGGACGGAGACAACCCCGGGAAACUGGGGUUAAUCCCCGAUAGGCGUGGAUUCCUGGAAUGGUGUCACGCCGAAACGUUAACACACCAUGUUUGUGUACACGCCUGAGGACGGGGCUGCGGCCGAUCAGGCAGUUGGUGAGGUAACGGCUCACCAAACCUUUGACCGGUACGGGCCGUGAGAGCGGUAGCCCGGAGAUGGACACUGAGACAAGGGUCCAGGACCUACGGGUCGCAGCCGGUACGAAACCUCCACAAUGCACGCAAGUGCGAUGGGGUUACCUCGAGUGCCGCCUGAAGAAGGCGGCUUUUCCAUUGUGUAAUGAGCCGUGGGAAUAAGGGGGGGGCAAGACUGGUGUCAGCCGCCGCGGUAACACCAGCCCCCCGAGUGGUGGGGAUGUUUAUUUGGCCUAAAACGUCCGUAGCCAGCUAGGUAAAUCUCUCGUUAAAUCCAGCGUCCUAAGCGUUGGGCUGCGAGAGAGACUGCCAAGCUAGAGGGUGGGAGAGGUCAGCGGUAUUUCUGGGGUAGGGGCGAAAUCCAUUGAUCCCAGGAGGACCACCAGUGGCGAAGGCUGCUGACUAGAACACGCCUGACGGUGAGGGACGAAAGCUGGGGUAGCGAAUCGGAUUAGAUACCCGAGUAGUCCCAGCCGUAAACGAUGCAGGCUAGGUGUUGGGUUGGCCACGUGCCGACUCAGUGCCACAGGGAAGCCAUUAAGCCUGCUGCCUGGGGAGUACGGUCGCAAGGCUGAAAC